AGGAUGAACGCUGGCGGCGUGCCUAAGACAUGCAAGUCGAGUGGGUUUAGACCCACGGCGAACGGGUGAGUAAUACCUAGGAACUUUUCUUUAGUUGAGGAUAUCCCACCGAAAGGUGGAGCAAUACUCAAUGUGGUCGCAAGACUAAAGUCGCAAGACGCUAAAGGUGAGGCCUGGGCACCAUCAGCUAGUUGGUAGGGUAAAAGCCUACCAAGGCUAUGACGGUUAGGGGCCCCGAGAGGGGAAACCCCCACACUGGGACUGCGACACGGCCCAGACUCCUACGGGAGGCAGCAGUUUGGAAUUUUGGACAAUGGGCGAAAGCCUGAUCCAGCGACGCCGCGUGGACGAUGAAGGCCUUCGGGUUGUAAAGUCCUUUUGCUCGGGAACAAUUUUUGAGCGUACCGAGAGAAUAAGAGGUUGCUAACUCUGUGCCAGCAGCCGC
rnacentral:rRNA from 1 species